UACGAAGGUGGCAAGCGUUGUUCGGAAUCACUGGGCUUAAAGAGCACGUAGGCGGCCUCAUAAGCGCUUUGUGAAAUCCCUCGGCUCAACCGGGGAAUUGCUGGGCGAACUGUGAGGCUUGAGGCAAGUAGGGGUGCAUGGAACUCUUGGUGGAGCGGUGAAAUGCGUAGAUAUCAAGAGGAACGCCGGUGGCGAAAGCGGUGCACUGGGCUUGUCCUGACGCUGAGGUGCGAAAGCUAGGGGAGCAAAC
rnacentral:rRNA from 1 species